rnacentral:rRNA from 1 species
GACCUCAAAUCAGGUAGGAGUACCCGCUGAACUUAAGCAUAUCAAUAAGCGGAGGAAAAGAAACCAACCGGGAUUGCCUUAGUAACGGCGAGUGAAGCGGCAAAAGCUCAAAUUUGAAAUCUGGUACCUUCGGUGCCCGAGUUGUAAUUUGUAGAGGGCGACUUUGGGGCGGCUCCUUGUCUAUGUUCCUUGGAACAGGACGUCAUAGAGGGUGAGAAUCCCGUGUGGCGAGGAGUGCGGUUCCGUGUAAAGCGCUCUCGAAGAGUCGAGUUGUUUGGGAAUGCAGCUCUAAGUGGGUGGUAAAUUCCAUCUAAAGCUAAAUAUUGGCGAGAGACCGAUAGCGAACAAGUACAGUGAUGGAAAGAUGAAAAGAACUUUGAAAAGAGAGUGAAAAAGUACGUGAAAUUGUUGAAAGGGAAGGGCAUUUGAUCAGACAUGGUGUUUUGUGCCCCUCGCUCCUUGUGGGUGGGGGAAUCUCGCAGCUCACUGGGCCAGCAUCAGUUUUGGCGGUCGGAUAAAACCAGGGGAACGUAGCUUGCUUCAGGAAGUAUUAUAGCCUCUGGGAAUACGGCCAGCCGGGACUGAGGAACGCGAUUCGUCAAGGAUGCUGGCAUAAUGGUUAUAUGCCGCCCGUCUUGAAACACGGACC